AAUGUGGAAUUCGCCCUUGUGCCAGCCGCCGCGGUAAUACGUAGGUGGCAAGCGUUGUCCGGAAUUAUUGGGCGUAAAGGGCUCGCAGGCGGUUUCUUAAGUCUGAUGUGAAAGCCCCCGGCUCAACCGGGGAGGGUCAUUGGAAACUGGGGAACUUGAGUGCAGAAGAGGAGAGUGGAAUUCCACGUGUAGCGGUGAAAUGCGUAGAGAUGUGGAGGAACACCAGUGGCGAAGGCGACUCUCUGGUCUGUAACUGACGCUGAGGAGCGAAAGCGUGGGGAGCGAACAGGAUUAGAUACCCUGGUAGUCCACGCCGUAAACGAUGAGUGCUAAGUGUUAGGGGGUUUCCGCCCCUUAGUGCUGCAGCUAACGCAUUAAGCACUCCGCCUGGGGAGUACGGUCGCAAGACUGAAACUCAAAGGAAUUGACGGGGGCCCGCACAAGCGGUGGAGCAUGUGGUUUAAUUCGAAGCAACGCGAAGAACCUUACCAGGUCUUGACAUCCUCUGACAAUCCUAGAGAUAGGACGUCCCCUUCGGGGGCAGAGUGACAGGUGGUGCAUGGUUGUCGUCAGCUCGUGUCGUGAGAUGUUGGGUUAAGUCCCGCAACGAGCGCAACCCUUGAUCUUAGUUGCCAGCAUUCAGUUGGGCACUCUAAGGUGACUGCCGGUGACAAACCGGAGGAAGGUGGGGAUGACGUCAAAUCAUCAUGCCCCUUAUGACCUGGGCUACACACGUGCUACAAUGGACAGAACAAAGGGCAGC
rnacentral:rRNA from 1 species